GACGAACGCUGGCGGCGUGCCUAAUACAUGCAAGUCGAGCGAACCGACGAGGUGCUUGCACCUUUGACGUUAGCGGCGAACGGGUGAGUAACACGUAAGGAAUCUACCUAUAAGUGGGGGAUAACAUCCGGAAACGGGUGCUAAUACCGCAUGACGCUUCUUGGGGGCAUCCCCGAGAGGUCAAAGCUUUAUGUGCUGAAAGAUGGCCUCGCGUCUGAUUAGCUAGUUGGUGGGGUAACGGCCCACCAAGGCGACGAUCAGUAGCCGGUCUGAGAGGAUGAACGGCCACAUUGGGACUGAGAUACGGCCCAG
rnacentral:rRNA from 1 species